CAAAUGAAACUUCAUCUUCAUCUCUUCCCUCCACCGUGUCGGAGCUCAUCACCGACAGCGGUGGAGUAAUAACUCAUGAAAUCACUUAUACAUAAACACUCCAAAUCCUCUACUCAAUCUAAAUCCACAAGCAAAAUCACCCAAUUCUUCAUAAAAACUCCAGAUUGAAGAAAAGGAUCCAAUAACCCUAGAACUAAGAACAUAAAUAAAUGGUGAAUACGUGGAAUCAGAACCCCGGAUGUCAGGGUUUUGAUUCAUCUCAAUGAGCUCUACAUCAUGGUAGCUAGUAUGCAAUGAAACAACGAAAGAAAAAAUAACUCUAAAGCGGAGAGUUGCUCUGGUGAGUUGUUUAAUCGAAGAAGAUAAAGUAGCGAUGGAAAAUCACUUGAAUUAGGACUCGAUGUUGAGGUAUCUGGUAUGAUAUGGAUUGAUUAAUUUGUAGGAUAUGUUGCAUUGCCUUGAUAGGUAUGUUCAAUGUUGUAUGUCAUGAUUGUUUUUGUUUGGAAGUGAAUUGGUGCAGGUUGUUUGGUCAUUGUGUAGCAGGAUGAUGAAUAACCAAGGAUGCAAGGGUUUUCACAGGGUUGUGCUUGGCCUGCAUCAGGAUACAUCAUGUGCUAAGCUCAUGCCUUGGUAAACUUGCAAAUGGACUAUUACAUUAUAUUGUCAAGGAUGUUAGGCAAUGUAUGUGUAUGGUUGUGUAUUUGGAUUCAUGGUUGUUUCUGGUAUAAUGUCAAGGUUGCAAGGCUUGUAGAGCAAUAUGGAGAAGGCAAGGCAAACAACCAAGUCAUGGCAUGGUGACCAAGCUCAAAGGCAUGACCUAUUUUACAAAACCAAAAGUAUUUCUUAUUUGUGAAGCAAUAUGAUAAUGUAGGCUCAUGCAAUCAAUGCAAGGAUGAAAUGUAAUUAUUAUUAGGACUAGGGAUGCAAAAAUGUAAUGGUUGACCAAAAAGUCAAUAGUUGGCCAAAAGUUAACUUUUGUAAAAAUGUAAUUUUUGAUUUAUUUUUUUGUAAUGAACAUUGUUUAUGCUAGUUUAUGAAUGAA